UUUCUGUGUGUUGCCAUCGUCGCUCCUUUUGAGAAAAAAAUUAGGUUGUCACGUAUGCCAUGCUAACUUCUGAAGUUUCUGACAGAGAAUUGUUGCCGCUGUCACUAUGUGCGCCAUUUUCGAGAUAUCAAACAAUGCAAAACUAGAGGAGCUUUGAUGGAAAUUGCUUUUACAAGUAUAUCUUCUGUUACCCUUUACUAGACUCAUCUCAUUGUAAGAAAAGGAAAAACUGAGAAAAAAAUAAUUAAAAAAAAAAGAAGAAAAAAUAGUAUUCUGCUAUCGUAUUUGCUGUGCGGGUACAUCUCUCAAUAUCUAGACUUCUAUCUCUAUUUACCUGCAACUUUGGAGUUCACCUCUUAAGUUUGAUCUCAUGCUAAAUUUAGUACCAAUCAAUUAUCUGUAAACUCGGGUGAUAGAUUUUGCCAUUUAUUCUGUUUCUUUCAAGUCAUAACUUGAUAAAAAGUUUGAAAGUUAUAUGUUCACGAUGAGUUAUCCAAAAGUGAAAUAUUUGUAACUUGUAAUAAUUAAAACUCAAUGUAGUUCUCAUAAAAUAACUUUUUACUAUAACUUAGAUCCUGAGACCGAUAAGUACAAACUCCAAGAUUUAUAUGCAUUUUUUUGUACUAAUGAAGAUGCUCCUCUGCCUAUGUAAUAUACAACUAUAUAAUAUUUUUUAACAAAUGCACCCAUCGUAAUCACUGACAUUCAUUCAUAAGGUUUUCUUAACGAUUGAUUUUUCAUUUCACUAGCUAUACUUCUAUUUAGUCUUUCCCUCUUUAGAACAAAGCCUUUUGGCAUCAACGUACACGUUAAUAACUUAUUCUUUAAUCAAAGUUAACAAAACAGAUAAUUUUUUCCAAUUUUUCCUGGGAUUGGAUACUUCCUAAUUACUGAUUGUAUAGACUCUGCUCACUGAUAACAAAGAAAAGCUUGAUAGUUCUUCAAAUGACUAAAUAUAGCCUUCUUGAGGCUGGUGUCAUCUUUUUGGUUGAAAUUCAUAUCAUGGCAAUGUUGAUAAUUUAUGUAUUCCUACAUGGAGAGUAUUGUCAUUUAGGGAUGAAGGUGCUUUGUAACAGAAAAAGAUCAUGUCUGCUUCUACGAGUCAACAAUACACUAAUAUCUUAUUCUACUUAUUUUAUGCUGAUACCCUCUAACACCAACAAGCUUAGAGUGCAAUCGAACCUUUGACAGGGCUAACCGCCUAACAAUAUUACCUACAUCAAACAACAAAACAUAAAGAAAGUAUAAGGUCAAAUUCUUCUUGAAUUACUGCUCUUAUUAAAUUUUGCUUGUUUCACUGUUAAACUGCCGCCUUAAAAUUUUUCUCUUUGCUUAUUGUUUCUUCUGUGUACAUUUAAGAUCUAAAGCUUUUUGUAGUAAUAAUAUCAAUCCAACAUUGUGGAAGACAUCAGGUUCCCUUGUAGUUUCAACAUUGCAACAAAUAAUCAGUGGUAUACUUCAAAAGAUGGAGUCUCACACUUGACUGUCUAUGCACCAUUCUUCUGCUUCUCAAAUCUUGCUUUGUCAUUGCCUUGAUUCUAAACUUGAUAUACCCACCCUUAUUUCAGUGUUGCUAAAGCUUAUUUGACAUAAUACUUUAUCAUCUUUGUUAAUAAUAAUGCUAAUUGCUGCCAUCUUACACAGGCUUGUGAAGGUGCUACUGGAAAGCUAUAAGUUUUUGUGUAACAUAUGAAUUAGAAAUAGAGGGAUUAGAAAAAACAUCAUUUAUGUAGUAGCUAUCUAUGGUCUCCUAUUACUCUGUAACAUUUUAGCAACAGAUCUGUAUCUUCUCUUUCUCUUCUAAACACAAACUCACCUUCUUGCUAACGACAGUACAACUUUGUUCAGGUUGGGCCCGGGCAAAGCUCGGGCUACCCCACUAGUGCGUUAUAAGCCAUUUGACAGCUACUAAGUUUACGGUAUUCUAAAACUCCUUCUCGAUAAACGGAAUAAAGAAUCUGAAAAUACAAACAACAACAUACCCAGUAUUAUCC
rnacentral:lncRNA from 1 species